rnacentral:rRNA from 1 species
AGGGAAUCUUCCACAAUGGACGCAAGUCUGAUGGAGCAACGCCGCGUGAGUGAAGAAGGUUUUCGGACCGUAAAGCUCUGUUGUUGGUGAAGAAGGAUAGAGGUAGUAACUGGCCUUUAUUUGACGGUAAUCAACCAGAAAGUCACGGCUAACUACGUGCCAGCAGCCGCGGUAAUACGUAGGUGGCAAGCGUUGUCCGGAUUUAUUGGGCGUAAAGCGAGCGCAGGCGGAAGAAUAAGUCUGAUGUGAAAGCCCUCGGCUUAACCGAGGAAUUGCAUCGGAAACUGUUUUCUUGAGUGCAGAAGAGGAGAGUAGAACUCCAUGUGUAGCGGUGGAAUGCGUAGAUAUAUGGAAGAAUACCAGUGGCGAAGGCGGCUCUCUGGUCUGCAACUGACGCUGAGGCUCGAAAGCAUGGGUAGCGAACAGGAUUAGAUACCCUGGUAGUCCAUGCCGUAAACGAUGAGUGCUAAGUGUUGGGAGGCUUCCGCCUCCCAGUGCUGCAGCUAACGCAUUAAGCACUCCGCCUGGGGGAGUACGACCGCAAGGUUGAAAC